rnacentral:rRNA from 1 species
UACGUAGGUGGCAAGCGUUGUCCGGAAUUAUUGGGCGUAAAGCGCGCGCAGACGGCCUUUUAAGUCUGAUGUGAAAGCCCCCGGCUCAACCGGGGAGGGUCAUUGGAAACUGGAAGGCUUGAGUGCAGAAGAGAAGAGCGGAAUUCCACGUGUAGCGGUGAAAUGCGUAGAGAUGUGGAGGAACACCAGUGGCGAAGGCGGCUCUUUGGUCUGUAACUGACGCUGAGGCGCGAAAGCGUGGGGAGCGAACAGG